UUUUAAGAAGGUGUCUAGGGAU
rnacentral:piRNA from 1 species